rnacentral:lncRNA from 1 species
CACCGCGCCUUAAAGCGGCCGCGUCCACUCCUGAGCCAGCGGCGCCGGCAGCAGAAAAGACCUGGGCCCUGCACCCUUCCCUGUCCAGCCCCCAUGCCCAACUAACCCCCUUCUCAGGCACAAGCCGGAGUACCUGGGGUGGGCUCCAAGCUUUGGCUGACAGGCAGGUGAGGGAAUGGCAGGCCCAACUUUCAAAGCCUUGGAGCCAGGAGUUAGGCCCAACUCCACCUAUCACAGGUGAGGAAACUGAAG